GUAUGCGGAAGUAACGCGCUCUAUGGACUGGCUACAGGGUGCCUUGGUUACCGGCAAAUUGUGACAAUUUCUUUCUAAUUCGUUGUGUCUGUUUUCAACAAUAUAAGCGCUUGUAAACUAUACGAUUUGUUUUUGUUAGGUUAUUCGAUCUACAGACACUGUAUUUAGAAGUGAUUGAAGUGAGAAAUGGAGUUAAAGCCAACAGGUAGCCUGGGAGUGAAAACAUUUAAAGAUGCUCCAUCUGAAACGUAUGUAAACAAACACCAGACUCCAGAUUCACACUGUGCUACAGAUGCAGCUCGGGCCAGAUGGACGAUUCUCCGACAGGUAUUGAGACAGAAGCAGCUUGACAGUAUUAAGGUUCAGCCAGUAUCAGUUCGCAGGUUCUCCUCCUUCAACCUGUUCUCCAGGACACAGGUUCCUUCACUGGAGAGCGAUGGACCAAAUGAUGGUCAGUGGAUCGAAUACAAAAGUUCCUGCUUUCAACAAUACAGUGCCUUAAUCAGAGAGAGCCAAGGGACGAUUAAAAUGGAAGAGGUGCUCAGCAGCUUUGACAACACGGGAAAUGUCUGUGUUUGGCCUUCUGAAGAGGUGAUGGCCUACUACUGUCUGAAGAAUCGUCAUAUGUUUACGGGUUCCUCUGUGUGUGAAUUAGGUGGAGGGAUGACAUGUCUUGCUGGGCUCAUGAUUGCCGUUUGUGCUGAGGUGAAGGAAGUGCUGCUAUCUGAUGGGAAUGAGAAGGCCAUCGAGAAUGUGCGUGUGGUUAUCGAGAGGAACAGACGAGCCGGACUGUUCACCUGCACCGAUGUGUCCAGCAGGGUGGUGAGAUGGGACAGUGAAGGUGACGUGUCUGCAAUGGAGGGCCGCUUUGACGUGGUCAUGUGUGCUGAUUGCCUGUUUCUCGACCAGUACCGAGCCUGCCUGGUCGACGCAUUGAGGAGAUUACUGCGGCCUGAUGGCACAGCAUUAGUGUUUGCUCCUUCGAGAGGAGACACGCUGACAGAAUUCUGUAGCUUGGCAGAAAGAGCAGGACUCCUUGUGUGCCGCUAUAACAACUACGACUCACUCAUAUGGGACUUGCAUAUAAAGGAAAAGUGGCCCCUGAGGGCCUGUAGCCUGCGAUGGAUGAUGUCUCUCGUGCAGACACCUCGGCUGUGAGUCAUUGUGGAGCAGUUGUGAAGAGUGGUACUCGGUGUCUGUCCUGGAGUGCUCACUGUGAUGAUAUGAGCCGAGUGUGAAGAAGAGGGAAGAAACAGGACCACCGGGUGCAGGGAAGUUAGUUCCUCAUGUGUGUUCUUUUGGAUGAUAAGGUUUAGCGAGAAGUAAAAGAAGCAGGAUUUUCCAAAUGAAAGUUGAAGUGAAUUAAGAAAAACGUUCCAAAAUAAAGUCGAAUCCAAAAUAGCAGAACAAGUGCAAAGAAAUGGAUUUAAUAGGACACUGAGUUUGAAAUUUCAUUGUGUGCUUAGACUCUUUUCAGUCACUGAAAACCCUCCCACAAUCUUCAUUUCAUCUUCAUACUUAUAUUCAGGAGGAUUCAAUUAGAUACAGUAACUCAAAGAUGAAGAGAGAAGGAAAGGAGGCAUAUGACGAGAACAUCCACUAUCCUGUGCUGCUCACCCUCACCCACAUCACCAGUCCACGUCUGCUAUGAACCUGGCAGACCUCCGCUGUGCCACCCCUGGCUCUGCCACUGUGAUACCCAGGGUUUACUUAACCUCGCCUUUUUUUCACUCUUAUAUCCAUAAUGCUUUUAAAAACACAGUAUGUGUCGGUGUGUGUGUGUGGGAUUCAGUUUGCUGUGUGAACUCAUGCCUGACCUUGUUACUGUGCAAUAAAAAAAGCCACACGGAGCACAGCCGUCUUCCUGUGUGUACUGAAAAUAGCUUAACUCUAAUAUCUUUAUAUGGUGCAGUGAAUAUUGCUAUUUUGAACAGGCACCUGACGGAUGGAUGGAUGGGUGGGUGGGUGCUUAAUGGCAUGGCUUAUUGCAUAAUAGUUGGCAUAAUUAUGCACUUCAGGCAUAAAUCAAUCCAAUGCUACUGUGCAUAAUCACUGUUUUAUUCUAUUCAUCAUUUAUCAUUGAACGAGGAUAGAAAAUGUAUGGAAAAUCCUUCACAUGCUGAAAUUAAGGCACUUUUUUUUUUUUUUACUACUACACAUUGUUCUGAAAUGGCUUCACUAAACAAGCUUUCCUAAACAUUUAAACAUUCCAUUCCAACUCUGUUUGCGGAUAAACCCGGAAAUUCACUGUGCAAGGAAAUCACGCUUAGCUAGCCAGGAUUUAAAUGUCUUUACACGGAUUGCAUGUUUUUACUGUACAGCUUUUGCUAAACUGCUUCCGUAUCCAAUAUGAUGUUUGGAGGAAGAUUUCCUAGCAAAGAUAAAAAAAAAAGUAAAUAAAAACAUUUCCAUCUAAUAUUUGGUGAAAUAUGUCAGAUAUUUGAACGUCAUCUACACAGGGCCUUUAUAAUGCAUUUGUAAGAAUUGUAUAAUUAUUUUACACAGCAUUGCUGGAGAAAUAAUGAAAGGUUUAUGGCGAUAUGUGUACGAUGAUGUUGGAGGUUUUAUGCAGGUUUUUUUUACAUGGAAACAUACACACGAUGUCCACUUUAUUAGGAACCUGCUCAUUGUGCACCUGCUUAUUUAUGCAGUUAUCUAAUCAAGACAAUCAUGUGGCAGCGGUACAAUGCAUACAAUCAUGCAGAUACAGGUCAAAAGCUUUAGUUAAUCACACCAAACCAGCAUGGGGGGAAAUGUGUGAUCUCUGUGACUUAACUGUGGCCAAAUGGGCUGGUUUCAGGAUCUCCUGGGAUUUCCACACAAAACAGUCUCUAGAGUUUAUACAGAAUCGUGUGAAAAACAUAAAAUACAGAGAGUCCUGUGGGUAAAAACGUCUUAUUGCUAUGAGAGGCCAGAGGAAAAUGACCAGAUUCAUGGUUCAAGCUGCCAAGAAGGACACAGAAACUCUUUCCAGUUAUCACUCAUUACAACUGGAGCGAGCAGAAAAGUAUCUCAGUAUGCACGAAACAUCAAACCUUGAGGUUGUCCUGCUACAACAGCAGAACACAACAUUGGGUUCCUCUCCUGUCAGCCAAGAAUAGGAAUCUGAGGCUUGCUGAGCGUGCUGAAGCAUGCUGGGAUGCUUUUCUACUCACCAGGGUUGUAAAAAGGGCUUAUUCGAGUUGCUAUAGACUUCCUGUCAGGUUAUACCAGUUUGGUCAUUCUCCUCUUAUCUCACUUAUCAUCAAGGUGUUUCAGCCUGCAAACCUUCCUUACACAGGAUGUUUAUUUUUUGUUAAACUGGUGACUGGAGUGUGUUAAAAAAAAUCCCAGGAGAUCAGCAAAUAAGAAUCACCAACAAUAACCAUAGCAUGGUCAGAGAGAAAACACUCUUUUCCAAAUUCUGAUGUUUGAAGUGAUAAUUAACUGAUCUUCAUCUGUAUCUGCAUGAUUUUUAUGCAUUGCACUGCUGCCAGGUGAUUGGUUGAUUAAAGAACUGCAUGAAUAUGAUAGUGUUUACAGAUGUUCCUCUUAAAGUGGAGGAUGGGUGUAAUUCUAUACUCCUAUAAGAAGCUGACACUCAUAAAGAAUUGCCGAGGAGUUUUUACAAAUUUCGUAUUUACAGUACGAAGCUUGUGUGCUGAAUAAACGUAUAACUCUGUUAUUAAGCACUGCAUGUAUUUUCUCCAACUUGCAUGAAGGUGCUGUUAGUAAAUUGGGAAAGAUUGAUGACGAAUGAAAAAAAAUACUCUAAACACUUUUUGCUUAACCAUCAACUCAUAAUAAAAAUCGAUGGACAUUGUUCUCUUCAUCCAUGUUAAGACAAACUUAAAUAAAAUAAAAAUAUCUGAUAUCUUACACUCUUUGACAUAAGCUUCUCAGAAAUUUGCAGCAAUGCUUUAUAAAAACAUCUUAUAAAGGUUCUGUGUAGGUCCCUUUACAAUAAAGUGUCACCGAAUAUAUGUGGUUGUAGACGAAGUAUGUUGUUAGCAGAAAAACACAAUUUUGGCCCAAAACCCUUUUUAUCUGUUUGUCAUUAUGGGCUGUUUACCAGAAUUCGGGUGAGGCUACAUCCGUCAGGUUUUUACCAGGCCGUCUCACACACACACACACACACACACACACACACACACACACACACACACACACACACACACACACACACACACACAAACAUAUCUGGAGAACUGAGUAUCACUGGCUUCACUGUGACUCACUCUCGCUGCUCAUCUUUUAAGUAAGGUUUUAAAUGAGAAUCAUUCUGUCCACAGACCUCUACCUUUAGACCUUUACCACUGUUCUGGAUUACUGUGUGUUAUGUGGGUAUGUUCAACCUUGUAUUAGGCCGUGUUCAAAUGAAGAAAUGCAGUAUGAAUUUAUAGGCUCUUCCACUAUGUGGUCUAUCUGAAACAGCCUUUCAAAUCAUGUAUUCCAGGGGAUCUAUUUGUGUUAAGUAAGUACUCUAUAAUAAAAAAAUAGGGGACAGGGUGUGUGGAGUUGUAUUAGAGGCUUUCUAAACAUUUUGACUGCCGUGUAUUAUUCCAUUGAAUACAAACUGUAUUAGUACAGACUGUGUGUGAUGCUGUUUUCUGAAAUAAAGAAUAAUAACAUAUCAGGAUGCAAAGUGUUAACAUAUUAAGUGUUUCAUGUCCAGAAUAUUUGCAUUCUAUUCCUUUGCUCACUGUAAAAGCUGUUCAACUGUUUAUAGUGAGAUGAAAAAUCAUUCACGUGAUGUCAGAGCUGUAACUUUUUGAGUUAAUUGAUCACCUUGUUUUUUCGGGGCUUCGUGUUUCUGCACUGUGACUGAUGAGUCUAAAGUGAUUGUUUUACACUAAUGGAGCAGGUGCUUGUAAUGACUGUGAUUAAAUCAUUAUUUGAAACA